rnacentral:rRNA from 1 species
AUUGAACGCUGGCGGCAGGCCUAACACAUGCAAGUCGAACGAGUGGCGGACGGGUGAGUAAUGUCUGGGAAACUGCCCGAUGGAGGGGGAUAACUACUGGAAACUGUAGCUAAUACCGCAUACCAUCGGAUGAGCCCAGGUGGGAUUAGGUAGUUGGUGGGGUAACGGCUCACCCAGGCGACGAUCCCUAGCUGGUCUGAGAGGAUGACCAGCCACACUGGAACUGAGACACGGUCCAGACUCCUACGGGAGGCAGCAGUGGGGAAUAUUGCGCAAUGGGCGCAAGCCUGAUGCAGCCAUGCCGCGUGUAUGAAGAAGGCCUUCGGGUUGUAAAGUACUUUCAGCGAGGAGGCGUUACUCGCAGAAGAAGCACCGGCUAACUCCGUGCCAGCCGCCGCGGUAAUUC